CCAUGCUUGGCCGAUCGGCGAGGUCCCGGUCUUCCAAACCGGCCAGGUGGGUUCGACUCCCACAGCAUGGUCCA
rnacentral:tRNA from 1 species